rnacentral:rRNA from 1 species
CCUACGGGUGACUGCAGCAGCAGGGAAUUUUGCGCAAUGGGCGAAAGCCUGACGCAGCAACGCCGCGUGGGGGAUGAAGGCCUUCGGGUUGUAAACCCCUUUUGCCGGGGAAGAUCGUGACGGUACCCGGCGAAUAAGUCACGGCUAACUACGUGCCAGCAGCCGCGGUAAUACGUAGGUGGCGAGCGUUGUCCGGAUUUAUUGGGCGUAAAGCGCACGCAGGCGGUUCGUCAAGUCUCUGGUGAAAUCUCCCGGCCCAACUGGGAGGGGUCCGGAGAUACUGGCGGACUAGAGGGGACCAGAGGAGAGUGAAAUUCCCGGUGUAGGGGUAAAAUGCGUAGAUAUCGGGAGGAACACCAGUGGCGAAGGCGGCUCUCGGGGGUCAACCUGACGCUGAGGGGCGAAAGCUGGGGGAGCAAACGGGAUUAGAUACCCUAGUAUU